AGAGUUUGAUCAUGGCUCAGGAUGAACGCUGGCGGCGUGCCUAAUACAUGCAAGUCGAACGAGGUGCUUUUGUAGCAAUACGAGAGUAUCCUAGUGGCGAACGGGUGAGUAACGCGUUGGUGACCUACCCCAAAGUGUGGGAUAACAGUCCGAAAGGAUUGCUAAUACCGUAUGUGGUUAUUGGAUUUAGAAACUAGUAACUAAAGGAGCAAUUCGCUUUGGGAGGGACCUGCGUCCCAUCAGCUAGUUGGUGAGGUAACGGCUCACCAAGGCGACGACGGGUAGGGGACCUGAGAGGGUGGCCCCCCACAAUGGAACUGAAACACGGUCCAUACACCUACGGGUGGCAGCAGUAGGGAAUAUUGCACAAUGGGCGAAAGCCUGAUGCAGCAACGCCGCGUGUGUGAUGAAGGCCUUCGGGUCGUAAAGCACUUUUCUGGGAGAUGAGAAAGGACAGUAUCCCAGGAAUAAGUCUCGGCUAACUACGUGCCAGCAGCCGCGGUAAUUC
rnacentral:rRNA from 1 species